rnacentral:rRNA from 1 species
ACGUGAGAAUCUACCCUUAGGAAGAGGAUAACAGCUGGAAACGGUUGCUAAUACUCUAUAUGCCGAGAGGUAAAAGGAUCUAUCCACCUUAGGAAGAGCUCGCGUCUGAUUAGCUUGUUGGGGAGGUAAUGGCUCACCAAGGCGACGAUCAGUAGCUGGUUUGAGAGGACGACCAGCCACACUGGGACUGAGACACGGCCCAGACUCCUACGGGAGGCAGCAGUGGGGAAUUUUCCGCAAUGGGCGAAAGCCUGACGGAGCAAUACCGCGUGAGGGAUGAAAGCCUGUGGGUUGUAAACCUCUUUUCUCAAGGAAGAAAUUUUGACGGUACUUGAGGAAUAAGCAUCGGCUAACUCUGUGCCAGCAGCCGCGGUAAUACAGAGGAUGCAAGCGUUAUCCGGAAUCACUGGGCAUAAAGCGUCUGUAGGUUGCUUAGCAAGUCUGCUGUUAAAGAUCAGGGCCUAACCCUGGGAAAGCAGUGGAAACUAGUAGGCUUGAGUGUGUAGA